rnacentral:rRNA from 1 species
GAAAGGGUGAGGAGCAAACGGGAUUAGAUACCCCGGUAGUCCACGCCGUAAACUAUGGAUGCUAGCUGUUAGAGGUAUCGACCCCUCUAGUAGCGAAGCUAACGCGUUAAGCAUCCCGCCUGUGGAGUACGGUCGCAAGACUAAAACAUAAAGGAAUUGACGGGGAGCCGCACAAGCGGUGGAGUGUGUUGUUUAAUUCGAUGGUAAGCGAAGAACCUUACCCAGGCUUGACAUCCUUGGAAGUUCUGUGAAAGCAGAGUGUGCCUUCGGGAACCAAGUGACAGGUGUUGCAUGGCCGUCGUCAGCUCGUGUCGUGAGAUGUUAGGUUAAGUCCUUCAACGAGCGCAACCCUUAUAGUUAGUUGUAUUUUUCUAGCUAGACUGCCCUGGCAACAGGGAGGAAGGAGGGGAUGAUGUCAGGUCAGUAUUACCCUUACGUCUGGGGCUACAAACACACUACAAUGGCCAGUACAAUGGGCAGCCAAGUCGUGAGACGGAGCAAAUCCCAUCAAAGCUGGUCCCAGUUCGGAUUGCAGGCUGAAACUCGCCUGCAUGAAGUUGGAAUCGCUAGUAAUGGUAGGUCAGCAUACUACCGUGAAUACGUUCCCGGCUCUUGUACACACCGCCCGUCAAACCAUGAAAGUCGCCAAUACCUGACGUGUUAGCUUGUCUAGCCCUAAGGUAGGGGAGAUGAUUGGGGUUAAGUCGUAACAAGGUAGCCGU